GAGUUUGAUCGUGGCUCAGAGCGAACGCUGGCGGCAGGCUUAACACAUGCAAGUCGAGCGGGCGUAGCAAUACGUCAGCGGCAGACGGGUGAGUAACGCGUGGGAACGUACCUUUUGGUUCGGAACAACACAGGGAAACUUGUGCUAAUACCGGAUAAGCCCUUACGGGGAAAGAUUUAUCGCCGAAAGAUCGGCCCGCGUCUGAUUAGCUAGUUGGUAGGGUAAUGGCCUACCAAGGCGACGAUCAGUAGCUGGUCUGAGAGGAUGAUCAGCCACAUUGGGACUGAGACACGGCCCAAACUCCUACGGGAGGCAGCAGUGGGGAAUAUUGGACAAUGGGGGCAACCCUGAUCCAGCCAUGCCGCGUGAGUGAUGAAGGCCCUAGGGUUGUAAAGCUCUUUUGUGCGGGAAGAUAAUGACGGUACCGCAAGAAUAAGCCCCGGCUAACUUCGUGCCAGCCGCCGCCGU
rnacentral:rRNA from 1 species